UGUAUGUGCAUGUGUGCUUACUUGUAUGUGCAUGUGCAUGUGUUGAUAUGAAUAUACAUAACAUAAACACACGUGUAUAUGCAGGCACACACACAGA
rnacentral:miRNA from 1 species